rnacentral:rRNA from 1 species
AUUGAACGCUGGCGGUAGGCCUAACACAUGCAAGUCGAACGGCAGCACAGUAAUAGCUUGCUCUUACGGGUGGCGAGUGGCGGACGGGUGAGGAAUACAUCGGAAUCUACUUUUUCGUGGGGGAUAACGUAGGGAAACUUACGCUAAUACCGCAUACGACCUACGGGUGAAAGCAGGGGAUCUUCGGACCUUGCGCGAUUGAAUGAGCCGAUGUCGGAUUAGCUAGUUGGCGGGGUAAAGGCCCACCAAGGCGACGAUCCGUAGCUGGUCUGAGAGGAUGAUCAGCCACACUGGAACUGAGACACGGUCCAGACUCCUACGGGAGGCAGCAGUGGGGAAUAUUGGACAAUGGGCGCAAGCCUGAUCCAGCCAUACCGCGUGGGUGAAGAAGGCCUUCGGGUUGUAAAGCCCUUUUGUUGGGAAAGAAAAGCAGCAGGUUAAUACCCCGCUGUUCUGACGGUACCCAAAGAAUAAGCACCGGCUAACUUCGUG